rnacentral:rRNA from 1 species
CCUACGGGUGGCAGCAGUAGGGAAUUUUCCGCAAUGGAGGGAACCCUGACGGAGCAACGCCGCGUGAACGAAGAAGUUAUUCGUAAUGUAAAGUUCUUUUAACAGGGAAGAAAGAGAAAUUUGAUGGUACCUGACGAAUAAGCUCCGGCUAACUACGUGCCAGCAGCUGCGGUCAUACGUAGGGCGCGAGCGUUAUCCGGAAUUAUGGGGCGUAAAGGGUGCGUAGAUGGCAUAGUAAGUCUUUUGGAAAAAUGCUGGGCUAAAUCCAGUAGGGCAAAAGAUACUGCAAAGCUAGAGUAUGACAGAGGCAAGUGGAACUACAUGUGGAGCGGUAAAAUGCGUAAAUAUAUGUAAGAACACCAGUGGCGAAGGCGACUUUCUGGGUCGAUACUGACAUUGAGGCACGAAAGCGUGGGGAGCAAACAGGAUUAGAUACCCGUGUAGUC